rnacentral:snRNA from 1 species
AUACCUUCUCGGCCUUUUGGCUAAGAUCAAGUGUAGUAUCUGUUCUUAUCAGUGUGAAAACUGAUACUGUCCCUACUAGGGACAUGUGGUUUCACAUUAAUUUUUCACAGGGGUCGGAUUUACUAGUGGCUUGCCCUAGUCCCGACGCGGUUGCCCUUGGCAUGCACGCUACUAAGGAGCGGCUACCCCUGAC